GAUCGAGUAUCCAAGUGGUUAAGGAGAUGGUCUGCAAAACCCUUAUCGUGGGUUCGAAUCCCACCUCGAUCU
rnacentral:tRNA from 1 species